rnacentral:rRNA from 1 species
CACGUAGGGUGCGAGCGUUGUCCGGAAUUAUUGGGCGUAAAGAGCUCGUAGGCGGUGUGUCGCGUCGGCCGUGAAAACCUGCAGCUUAACUGUGGGCUUGCGGUCGAUACGGGCAUCACUGGAGUUCAGCAGGGGAGACUGGAAUUCCUGGUGUAGCGGUGAAAUGCGCAGAUAUCAGGAGGAACACCGGUGGCGAAGGCGGGUCUCUGGGCCGAUACUGGCGCUGAGGAGCGAAAGCGUGGGGAGCGAACAGG